rnacentral:rRNA from 1 species
GAUGAACGCUAGCGACAGGCCUAACACAUGCAAGUCGAGGGGCAGCACAGGAGCAAUCUGAGGUCGGCGACCGGCGCACGGGUGAGUAACACGUAUGCAACCUACCUGUAAGAGGGGAAUAACCCGUUGAAAAACGGACUAAUACCGCAUAACACUGUAGAACCGCAUGGUUUGACAGUUAAACAUUUAUGGCUUACAGAUGGGCAUGCGCAUGAUUAGCUAGUUGGUGAGGUAACGGCUCACCAAGGCAACGAUCAUUAGGGGUUCUGAGAGGAAGGUCCCCCACACUGGUACUGAGACACGGACCAGACUCCUACGGGAGGCAGCAGUGAGGAAUAUUGGUCAAUGGGCGAGAGCCUGAACCAGCCAAGUCGCGUGAAGGAUGAAGGUUUUAUGAAUUGUAAACUUCUUUUGCAGGGGAAUAAAGUGUCCGACGUGUCGGAUUUUGUAUGUACUCUGCGAAUAAGGAUCGGCUAACUCCGUG